AGAUGUCCGCUGAGAUGGGAAAGAUCUUUUCCCUGUGCCUUAGGUUGGCUGGGGACUUCAGCAAGCCUCCUGCAUGGGACUCCUCAUGUCAUUCUCCAGCACUGAAUCCAGGGCUAUCUACCACUCCCUUCAACUGACCUGCUCAUUUGGCAGUGUGGAAGACCAGGGCUGGUGGUUGCUUCUGUAUAAGUUCACUUUCUGCCCCAGGAAGGCAGGAGUGUGCCAAUUCUACUAGCAUAUGACUUGUCAGUUCAAAAGCACUUAUUUCCCCAACAAUAUAUUUGUAGCUUUCUGCAGGCUAGCCAGCUACCUGCAGGGUUGCAGCAAUGCUGCCCUGCCUUGGGUUAUGCUUCUGCUCUCACUGAAAUCAGCAGUGUCUUCAGCAGUUCAGGACUGGACCACAAACUACAGCAUUUCUGGGAUCCUUCAAGAUGAAAGGCACUCCACAUGGUCCUUCCUCCUAGCUUUUGGGGCACUUCAGCUACUUCUAAAUUGUUGGCAUUGGCAGCACAUCUUACCUCUGAGUACACAUCUUUGUGAGCAUCCUGACAGCCAGUGGGGGUGAAACCUGGAUGUGCUCCAACCUGUCUUGCUACCCCAGGAGACUGCUUAGAUGCCAGACAAACUUGUGAAGAACCCACAUGGUGCCAGAGCAGGAUGAUGCUUGUUACUAAAGAAUUAAUUAUUCUCCCUCAUGACAUGC